GGUUACUUAUUCUACCCAUAAGAGGUUGUAUCGAUCUGCAUGCCUAAACAAACAUUACAAACGGAGGUGUGGUGUCAACUUAGCUCACUCAGAACCGAAAAGGAAGGUUAUAUACCACCAAAAUCAAAUGGAAGAAGAUUUUCGUGUCAACCCUUUUGAUAAAGAUUCAGGUGAUGGCGGUGGUCUUCAUAUGGAAAAGGUACAAACUGAAGAAACUUAUCCUGCAAGACAUUGUCAACUUUGUCACUAUAUAGGGGAAUCGGUAAAUGCAUCACUGGUUUGUAAAGAAGAACAGAUAUAUCUCUGUAAUUCCUGUGGAAAGCGUCAUCAAUUUCAAAGGUCAACCAAAUCACAUACUGUCACUGACAUCGAAGAGAAUACAAUGUUAAAUUGCGAAAUUUGUGAAAGUCUUAAUAAAAAGGUACCAGCCUACGGGUUCUGCGAAACAUGCGAAGAUCCAGAAUAUAUGUGCCAACCUUGCUCAAAAAGACAUACGGCAUCUAAGAUAUUUAAAAGCCAUUCUAUCUGCACCAACCUAGAUAAACUGUACACAAA